CGGCAGGCUUAACACAUGCAAGUCGAGGGGCAGCAUGUCCAGCAAUGGAUGAUGGCGACCGGCGGAAGGGUGCGUAACGCGUGAGCAACAUGCCCUAUACAGGGAGAUACACCAGGGAAACUUGGUCUAAUAUCCCAUAGCAUUCAUUGAAGGCAUCUUUAAUGAAUUAAAGCUUCGGUGGUAUAGGAUUGGCUCGCGUGACAUUAGCCAGAUGGUGAGGUAACGGCUCACCAUAGCAAUGAUGUCUAGGGGUUUUGAGAGGAAGGCCCCCCACACUGGGACUGAGACACGGCCCAGACUCCUACGGGAGGCAGCAGUGAGGAAUAUUGGACAAUGGAUGGAAAUCUGAUCCAGCCAUGCCGCGUGCAGGAAGACGGCCUUAUGGGUUGUAAACUGCUUUUAUACGGGAGCAAUAAGGGUUACGAGUAAUCCGAUGAGAGUACUGUAUGAAUAAGGAUCGGCUAACUCCGUG
rnacentral:rRNA from 1 species